CUUCUCCAUCUUCUCCUCCUCCUCCUCCUCCUAUUGCACGGCCUCACUUGAGUUCAAUGCUAUACUUGCCCGAGUCCAAGGACCCUUUAAAGGCCACACAAUAUGAGAUGAAGGGAAGUGUUAGAAGUCGUAUCGUUGUACUGAAGGUUUACUAUAUUUGGGAAGACUAUACGAUUGGAUACGUCGCUUGGAACUCGUCUCCGAUUCCAGACACUUUUGAGCUUAGCAUAUUGUACAAAAAUAAAGAAAAAGCUAGACCAAUAAACACCACAUAAAUUGUGCGAAUGCGUAUCAGCGACACUUGAUAUCUAGGGUUGUUUAGUAUUCCAUAAAAAACCAGUAUAAUACACAAAAGCUAAAGGGGAAAGGGAAAACGCAGAUACUUGGAGUGAGGCAGGAAGAAGACUGGGGUCAUGUCCAAUAUUGGGGACACCACUAGGAAGUGAGGGAUCUCAUCCCGAAACUCCUCCACUGACCUCCAGAUCGAGCCGAGCGAGGCCGCGUUAGGACGAGCGACCCUUUUCAUUGUGUCAAAAUCCGAAAUGCGACCAACCGAAGGGCCCCCACCCCCAAAAGGAAUGCCAAGAUACCGCAGCUACGCCAUUGGCAUGUACUACCUAAAAGACCACUACUCAACAAAAACAGGAAGAGCGAAAGCAAAGACAACUCUGUUCAUAUCAAUUUGAUUGUCAAUACAUCAGAAUGGCUCUGCAAGUAUUUCGUCUUAACUUGACAGCCAUCCAACCAAUCUUCUCUCCCCUGGCCUUCUACUUUUCCUUUCUUUCUUUAUCUUGCUCUCUCUCUCUUCUCCAGGUCUCUGGAUCCUAAAACAGUUGGGAACGCACAGAACACAGUAUGUAGAACGUGGAGUCAUUGAAUGUCAAUAUCAACGGAACUUUCAUGAGCUAAAGUUGUAUUCCGGCUACUAUUACCGGCCUUCAACGAAAGCCAACAACUGUCUCAUUAAAUUCAGGAGGGAACAUCCCGGACUCGGAGAUUGAAAUCAGAUCCACUCCCUGGUGGAUCAUGGACAGAUGUCAACACGAGUCCGGAGCGGGUUUCAAAGUCGGCCGGAGUGAAAGAAGAAGAAGUAUGAAGAAGAAGAAGAAGACGAAGAAGCCAAUGGAAACUGGAGCAAGCCAGCCCAUUUGAAAGAAGAAUGUUCUUCGUUAUGACCUCGAGAAGGAAUGAAUUAGUGCGGGUCGUUUCCACUCUGAGAUCGGGGAGAGAUGUGUCUUCACGAUGGGAAAUCUCACUUCUCAUAUUGCCUUGAAAACGAGGAUCUUAACCCCCCUGCACCAUUACUCCCCUUCUUUGGCCCUUUUCGUCCUUCUCUUUCUUAUUUUUGUUCUUCCUGGCCAAAACGGCUUUUCUUGGCCCUCUCGGAAUUGCUAAUUAAAUGUAGGGUACAGGGUCAUUAAUAAGCGGGUGUCAUGCAAAUGUAGAAUAAACAAUCCCUCCACAGACUA